GGGAGGAAGCAAAAUAGUUGAAGAAAUCCAGAUCCGACAAAAUACAUUUACCUCCACAAAAUUGCAGAUAAACCCAAUAAGGCAAGUUUCAUCAUUUAAAAUGUAAUACUGUCAAUGUUACCGAGGAGAAAAAAAAUCUAUAAUUUCCCAAAAAUACAAUAAAUAAAAGAACAAAGAUCCACACAGCUAAAGACAAACAGAAGAUUCACCGACAAGAGUAAAACUAACCAUCGGAACACUUGUUCUUGGAGAGAGAACCAGAGCGAGAAUCGCGAUGAUCGAGCUGAGAUUUACCGGUGGAAAUGGAUGGUACGGACAAUCUCUCUUUGUCCUUGCUGUUCAAGGCACGCGAAGUGGAAGGGGAUGACUUUUCUAGGUGUUUGUCCAGCGCGUCGUUUAUGCGCUUUCGAUCGAUCUCCGAUUUCGAUGAGACACCACCAACUCCUCCUCGUUCUUUAUACAUAAUUCCGUUCCCUCUCAAUUUGAAAACACCAAUUUUUUUGGAAAAUUUUUCACUCUUUGAGAGCCAACAUGGUGACACAGAUAAUUAUAAAUUAAGAAAUGCAAAGAAAACCCUAGGUAUGAGGAAAUUAGGGUAUUGGGUGGAGUGGAAGAAUGAAGAGAGAUCGAGAGAGAGAAAACUCAGAUGCGGUGCAGAAGAUGAAUAUGAUAAAGAAAGUGGAUUGAAUGAAAGGGAAGGGUUUAAGGAGGGAGACGGUGAAAACUAGGGUUCUCAUCGCGGUAGAAAGGAGAGAUUCACACGCAUGAGCUCCUCAAUGUUCUCCCUUUCUCUCUUAUUUUCUUGUCAUCCUCUCCCUCUUUUCAUCUUCU
rnacentral:misc_RNA from 1 species